ensembl:misc_RNA Metazoa_SRP Metazoan signal recognition particle RNA
GCCGGGCGUGGUGGCUCACGCCUGUAAUCCCAGCACUUUGGGAGGCUGAGGCGGGUGAAUCACCUGAGGUCAGGAGUUCGAGACCAGCCUGACCAACAUGGUGAAACCCCAUCUCUA